rnacentral:lncRNA from 1 species
AUCCCUGAAUUAGACAUAACUUUGAAACUUCUAUUUUUUCAAAUAAUUCUACUCGAAUAACACAUUUAUACAAGGAGUUCGGCUACUAUACUCUUAUGAGUACGAUCGCCUUCGUACUCAUAAGUUGCUUUCGAUGAUAGAGCUUCCGAAUUGACGAUCCAUACCAUUAAAUAUUUUCUAGAGUAUUUAAAGCUUCUAGAAAUCAAAUUUCAUAAUUUUUCGACAUCAUUUACCUUACGAUCAAAAGCUCACAAAAUUGACAAUUUUUAACGGCCGGUAUGAGAUACUUGCUAGUUUAACGGUGGAAAAUAAUCGGAAUAGGUUGAAUUUUUUGUAGAAAAUUCUAUUCGCUAUUUAGAUAAAGAUCAAUAACCCCGAUCUUAAAUUGAAGGAUCCGAUCAUCCAUUUUUAGGACAUCAUUCGAUUUUGACCGUUCAUUUUAUACUCGCUUGAUGGACUUUAUUAUGAUUUCGAAAAAUUACAACAUUUAUUUUCUAGAAGUUUCAGAUACUCUAAAUCAUAUUUAACAGAGUGGAUCAUCGAUUCGGAAGCUCUAUAAUCGAAAACAACUUAUGAGUACGAAGGGCGCAAUACUUAUAAAAGUAUAGUAGCCCUACCUCUUAUACAAGUAUCUUGUAGAAAUCUACAAAUAAUUCUAUAC